AACGGUCUAUACCUGCGGUACCUGCGGAGGGAUCAUUAACGAAUAUCUAUGGCGUUGGUUGUAGCUGGCUCCUAGGAGCAUUUGUGCACACCCGUCAUUCAUAUCAUCUUUCCACCUGUGAACUAUGUGUAGGCCUGGAUACCUCUCGCUUUGGUGACAAGGCGGAUGCAAGGAUUGCUGCGUCGACAAGGCCAGCUCUCUUUGAAUUUCCAGGUUUACGUUUUUUUACACACCCCAUUU
rnacentral:misc_RNA from 1 species